rnacentral:lncRNA from 1 species
CAAAACCUGUAUAUUUCCGAGACGUUUAUUUGGUGCCGAUCAAUUAAGUGAAUUCAAUUUAUUUUUUGGACAUUUUACGCCUGAUUUUUUAUUUAUUAUUAUUUAUUUAUUUAUUUUUCCGAUUUAUUUUUUUAUGUUUUAGCCAAUUUAGUUAGUAAAAUUAAUUAAAAUUAUUUGUUUGUUAAAUUCAAUUCAAUUUUUAUUAUUUUUAUUUUAAUUAGUGAAGUUUAAUUUUUAUUAUCAUUUAAUUUAAGAAUUAGAAAGAAAUGCAAAAUAUCUUCAAAUUUCUCCAUUAAGAAAGAGACACUUGGCGCAUGGUUGGGGAAGGUUCGUGGCAUGUGAUUAAAGUUUAAUUUUUAUUAUCAUUUAAUUUAAGAAUUAGAAAGAAAUGCAAAAUAUCUUCAAAUUUCUCCAUUAAGAAAGAGACACUUGGCGCAUGGUUGGGGAAGGUUCGUGGCAUGUGAUUCAUCCAUAUGUUUCUUUAAGUAUCAUUUCUUCCUUUAAACCACAGGAGACUUGAUGUAGGAAAGCACAGAAAAAAAUACCUUCAUUCUCCCAAUGGUCCAUAACACUCAAGUUUCCACACUUUCUCACUUCCGAUCUCCCAUACAUUAAGGCAACACACAUAAAAAACACCACGCACGGUCAAAUCAUCACCGACAUAGUGGCUUGCUUCUGUUCCUCCAUCACGUCACCACCACGGACGUUUCCGGCGAAACCGGUGUAUCAAACGUAACCACCAACUGCACAUCUCUCUUCCGACCGUGCGCU